UACAGAGGGUGCAAGCGUUAAUCGGAAUUACUGGGCGUAAAGCGCGCGUAGGUGGUUUGUUAAGUUGGAUGUGAAAUCCCCGGGCUCAACCUGGGAACUGCAUUCAAAACUGACAAGCUAGAGUAUGGUAGAGGGUGGUGGAAUUUCCUGUGUAGCGGUGAAAUGCGUAGAUAUCGGGAGGAACACCUGUGGCGAAAGCGGCGCACUGGACCACAUCGUGACGCUGAGGCGCGAAAGCGUGGGGAGCAAACAGG
rnacentral:rRNA from 1 species